ACCAGGACGAUGUUGCCAGAAUGAAGAAGGAAUGGGCUAUGUGGAGAUUGUCUGGAGGGAAAAAUAAGACAUGCUUCUUCAGGAAAGGUCAAGACCUGGACCUCAGAGAAGGCACUCCAAGAAGGUGUGUACACCUGGAGACUCUGUCGCAGCUGCAAGCCGUUCUCUCUCUGAAUAAACAGAGAGUCCCACCUUUCUUUGAGGAGUAUCCACACUGUCCUCUCCCCCAAAGCAACAGGGAUUUACUCUAGCAGGGAACCUCAUUGGAAGCAGAAGAAUCAGAAUUUCCUGGGGACAAAUGUACCAUGUCAAAGUCCCCCAAAUGAUUCUGACCCCCAUCCUACUUGGGAGAUGCUAACUUUCCAGGUUGUGAAUCACACUUCUCACCAACUUAAUUGCAAGGGCUUUAACUUUCACAACAGUAAAAGUAAUACUCCAUGAAACAGCACAAAGUAUCUGGUUUCCAAAAGAAACUUUUUAUAUGAACCCAAAGUUAAAGAAUUUAAAACAGGGGCAUGAUGAUUUAAAUGAUUAAAGUGGGCUAAUGAAAUCAUCUUACAGGCUACAUGCGAAAGUUCCUAGUUUUUUGGUGUAGAUCAAAGAAUUCCACGAAAUUCAGUUAAACUACUGAAGGACAUUACUAUUGCCAAUAAAAAUAUAAUAGUUAACUUGAAGAGAAAGAUUUCGCAUUUUAUUAAUCUGAGUUUUAAGAAAAAUGUGUGAGAUGCCAGUAACUCAAAGCAGCAAACUUUUAUUUUUUCUGUAAUGUGCCUAGGCCAGCCAUGAAGAAUACAUUUCAUGUCUUGUGUCAAUUACAGUUGACUCCCACGGCUGUGCUGGGCAGGAUGCUCAGACCCACUCUCACUCAGGGAAAGGGGGCUUUAAUCAAACUGAUUAGUCUGCCCUUGGCACCAACACGCAUUCCCACACCAUGCUAGGAAUUCCUUUCUGUGAAGCGAUUAGAAAUUACACUCCUUAUGCUUGAAUAGCUUUUAGUCUGGUUUGGGAAUUAAGACCCAAAGAGGUGAGAAAAUAGAGCAUUUCUCAGGCAAUAUAGACACUUCCAUCAAUCUCUUCUGUGCUCCUCUUGUGGGACUAAUUGCUCCUUUCUUGUUACUGCCAUGAGCAUUUUAUGAGCACUGUUACAGGGCUACUGCCUUUGUUAUUGUUCUUACAUGGUUACCGCUCCCCUGUUAGUUUGCAACACCCUUGAGGGCAGUGACUGUACUCCAUUGCUCCAGCUCAAUUACCGUCAGCCCUCAGCACCCUGGUCUGUGCCUUAUGAGUUGAGGGGCCCUCUCUGACAAGGAGAUGAGCAUAUGAAGGGGGUUAAAGGAAAUCAGAUAAGUGGGGUGGAAAUACCAGGCUUUGCUCUCAGCUAACUAGGCCCCCCUUGUUCCCACCCCUAAGUCCCCAGUUUUCUGGGCUUAUGUCUACAGCCUUCCCAUUGAGUCUAUCAGCAAGCAACACUUGGCAACUU
rnacentral:lncRNA from 1 species